UGGGGAAUAUUGCACAAUGGGCGGAAGCCUGAUGCAGCGACGCCGCGUGGGGGAUGACGGCCUUCGGGUUGUAAACUCCUUUCGACAGGGACGAAGCGCAAGUGACGGUACCUGUAUAAGAAGCACCGGCUAACUACGUGCCAGCAGCCGCGGUAAUACGUAGGGUGCGAGCGUUGUCCGGAAUUACUGGGCGUAAAGAGCUCGUAGGUGGGUUGUCGCGUCGUCUGUGAAAUUCCGGGGCUUAACUCC
rnacentral:rRNA from 1 species